UACGAGGGGGGCGAGCGUUGUUCGGAAUUAUUGGGCGUAAAGGGCGCGUAGGCGGUUGGAUAAGUCUUGUGUGAAAUCUCCGGGCUUAACCCGGAAAGGUCAACUGAUACUGCAGGGCUAGAGUGCAGAAGGGGCAACUGGAAUUCUCGGUGUAGCGGUGAAAUGCGUAGAUAUCGAGAGGAACACCUGCGGCGAAGGCGGGUUGCUGGGCUGACACUGACGCUGAGGCGCGAAAGCCAGGGGAGCGAACGGG
rnacentral:rRNA from 1 species